rnacentral:rRNA from 1 species
UGAGUAACACGUAUCCAACCUGCCGUCUACUCUUGGCCAGCCUUCUGAAAGGAAGAUUAAUCCAGGAUGGCAUCAUGAGUUCACAUGUCCGCAUGAUUAAAGGUAUUUUCCGGUAGACGAUGGGGAUGCGUUCCAUUAGAUAGUAGGCGGGGUAACGGCCCACCUAGUCAACGAUGGAUAGGGGUUCUGAGAGGAAGGUCCCCCACAUUGGAACUGAGACGCGGUCCAA